rnacentral:rRNA from 1 species
GGUUAAGCGACUAAGCGUACACGGUGGAUGCCCUGGCAGUCAGAGGCGAUGAAGGACGUGCUAAUCUGCGAAAAGCGUCGGUAAGGUGAUAUGAACCGUUACAGCCGGCGAUGUCCGAAUGGGGAAACCCAGUGUGAUUCGUCACACUAUCGUUAACUGAAUACAUAGGUUAACGAGGCGAACCGGGGGAACUGAAACAUCUAAGUACCCCGAGGAAAAGAAAUCAACCGAGAUUCCCCCAGUAGCGGCGAGCGAACGGGGAGCAGCCCAGAGUCUGAAUCAGCUUGUGUGUUAGUGGAACGGUCUGGAAAGUCCGACGGUACAGGGUGAUAGUCCCGUACACCAAAAUGCACAGGCUGUGAACUCGAAGAGUAGGGCGGGACACGUGGUAUCCUGUCUGAAUAUGGGGGGACCAUCCUCCAAGGCUAAAUACUCCUGACUGACCGAUAGUGAACCAGUACCGUGAGGGAAAGGCGAAAAGAACCCCGGCGAGGGGAGUGAAAAAGAACCUGAAACCGUGUACGUACAAGCAGUGGGAGCACCUUCGGGUGUGACUGCGUACCUUUUGUAUAAUGGGUCAGCGACUUAUAUUCUGUAGCAAGGUUAACCGUAUAGGGGAGCCGCAGGGAAACCGAGUCUUAACUGGGCGUUAAGUUGCAGGGUAUAGACCCGAAACCCGGUGAUCUAGCCAUGGGCAGGUUGAAGGUUGGGUAACACUAACUGGAGGACCGAACCGACUAAUGUUGAAAAAUUAGCGGAUGACUUGUGGCUGGGGGUGAAAGGCCAAUCAAACCGGGAGAUAGCUGGUUCUCCCCGAAAGCUAUUUAGGUAGCGCCUCGUGAAUUCAUCUUCGGGGGUAGAGCACUGUUUCGGCUAGGGGGUCAUCCCGACUUACCAACCCGAUGCAAACUACGAAUACCGAAGAAUGUUAUCACGGGAGACACACGGCGGGUGCUAACGUCCGUCGUGAAGAGGGAAACAACCCAGACCGCCAGCUAAGGUCCCAAAGUCACAGUUAAGUGGGAAACGAUGUGGGAAGGCACAGACAGCCAGGAUGUUGGCUUAGAAGCAGCCAUCAUUUAAAGAAAGCGUAAUAGCUCACUGGUCGAGUCGGCCUGCGCGGAAGAUGUAACGGGGCUAAACUGUGCACCGAAGCUGCGGCAGCGACACUAUGUGUUGUUGGGUAGGGGAGCGUUCUGUAAGCCUGCGAAGGUGGCCUGUGAGGGUUGCUGGAGGUAUCAGAAGUGCGAAUGCUGACAUAAGUAACGAUAAUGCGGGUGAAAAGCCCGCACGCCGGAAGACCAAGGGUUCCUGUCCAACGUUAAUCGGGGCAGGGUGAGUCGACCCCUAAGGCGAGGCCGAAAGGCGUAGUCGAUGGGAAACAGGUUAAUAUUCCUGUACUUGGUGUUACUGCGAAGGGGGGACGGAGAAGGCUAUGUUAGCCGGGCGACGGUUGUCCCGGUUUAAGCAUGUAGGCGGAGGUUCCAGGUAAAUCCGGUACCUUUUUAACGCUGAGGUGUGAUGACGAGGCACUACGGUGCUGAAGUAACAAAUGCCCUGCUUCCAGGAAAAGCCUCUAAGCAUCAGGUAACAUUAAAUCGUACCCCAAACCGACACAGGUGGUCAGGUAGAGAAUACCAAGGCGCUUGAGAGAACUCGGGUGAAGGAACUAGGCAAAAUGGUGCCGUAACUUCGGGAGAAGGCACGCUGAUAUGUAGGUGAAGCCCCUGCGGGUGGAGCUGAAAUCAGUCGAAGAUACCAGCUGGCUGCAACUGUUUAUUAAAAACACAGCACUGUGCAAACACGAAAGUGGACGUAUACGGUGUGACGCCUGCCCGGUGCCGGAAGGUUAAUUGAUGGGGUUAUCCGUAAGGAGAAGCUCUUGAUCGAAGCCCCGGUAAACGGCGGCCGUAACUAUAACGGUCCUAAGGUAGCGAAAUUCCUUGUCGGGUAAGUUCCGACCUGCACGAAUGGCGUAAUGAUGGCCAGGCUGUCUCCACCCGAGACUCAGUGAAAUUGAACUCGCUGUGAAGAUGCAGUGUACCCGCGGCAAGACGGAAAGACCCCGUGAACCUUUACUAUAGCUUGACACUGAACAUUGAGCCUUGAUGUGUAGGAUAGGUGGGAGGCUUUGAAGCGUGGACGCCAGUCUGCGUGGAGCCAACCUUGAAAUACCACCCUUUAAUGUUUGAUGUUCUAACGUUGGCCCCUUAUCGGGGUUGCGGACAGUGUCUGGUGGGUAGUUUGACUGGGGCGGUCUCCUCCCAAAGAGUAACGGAGGAGCACGAAGGUUAGCUAAUCCUGGUCGGACAUCAGGAGGUUAGUGCAAUGGCAUAAGCUAGCUUGACUGCGAGCGUGACGGCGCGAGCAGGUGCGAAAGCAGGUCAUAGUGAUCCGGUGGUUCUGAAUGGAAGGGCCAUCGCUCAACGGAUAAAAGGUACUCCGGGGAUAACAGGCUGAUACCGCCCAAGAGUUCAUAUCGACGGCGGUGUUUGGCACCUCGAUGUCGGCUCAUCACAUCCUGGGGCUGAAGUAGGUCCCAAGGGUAUGGCUGUUCGCCAUUUAAAGUGGUACGCGAGCUGGGUUUAGAACGUCGUGAGACAGUUCGGUCCCUAUCUGCCGUGGGCGCUGGAGAAUUGAGGGGGGCUGCUCCUAGUACGAGAGGACCGGAGUGGACGCAUCACUGGUGUUCGGGUUGUCAUGCCAAUGGCAUUGCCCGGUAGCUAAAUGCGGAAGAGAUAAGUGCUGAAAGCAUCUAAGCACGAAACUUGCCCCGAGAUGAGUUCUCCCUGACUCCUUGAGAGUCCUGAAGGAACGUUAAAGACGAUGACGUUGAUAGGUCGGGUGUGUAAGCGUAGCGAUACGUUGAGCUAACCGAUACUAAUGAACCGUGAGGCUUAACCUU